rnacentral:rRNA from 1 species
GACGAACGCUGGCGGCGUGCCUAAUACAUGCAAGUAGAACGCACAGUUUAUACCGUAGCUUGCUACACCAUAGACUGUGAGUUGCGAACGGGCGAGUAACGCGUAGGUAACCUGCCUGGUAGCGGGGGAUAACUAUUGGAAACGAUAGCUAAUACCGCAUAAUAUUAAUUAUUGCAUGAUAAUUAAUUGAAAGGUGCAAUUGCACCACUACCAGAUGGACCUGCGUUGUAUUAGCUAGUAGGUGAGGUAACGGCUCACCUAGGCGACGAUACAUAGCCGACCUGAGAGGGUGAUCGGCCACACUGGGACUGAGACACGGCCCAGACUCCUACGGGAGGCAGCAGUAGGGAAUCUUCGGCAAUGGACGAAAGUCUGACCGAGCAACGCCGCGUGAGUGAAGAAGGUUUUCGGAUCGUAAAGCUCGGUUGUAAGAGAAGAACGGGUGUGAGAGUGGAAAGUUCACACUGUGACGGUAUCUUACCAGAAAGGGACGGCUAACUACGUG